rnacentral:rRNA from 1 species
UACGAAGGGGGCUAGCGUUGCUCGGAAUUACUGGGCGUAAAGCGCACGUAGGCGGCUUUCUAAGUCGGGGGUGAAAUCCUGGAGCUCAACUCCAGAACUGCCUUUGAUACUGGCGAGCUUGAGUUCGGGAGAGGUGAGUGGAACUGCGAGUGUAGAGGUGAAAUUCGUAGAUAUUCGCAAGAACACCAGUGGCGAAGGCGGCUCACUGGCCCGAUACUGACGCUGAGGUGCGAAAGCGUGGGGAGCAAACAGGG